GCAUCGAUUGUUCGAAGGUAGAAUGCUCGUUUUCCAAUCGAGAGACCCGCGUUCGAUUCCCGGACGGUGCA
rnacentral:tRNA from 1 species